rnacentral:rRNA from 1 species
AGUGAACGCUGGCGGUAGGCCUAACACAUGCAAGUCGAACGGCAGCACAGUAAGAGCUUGCUCUUACGGGUGGCGAGUGGCGGACGGGUGAGGAAUACAUCGGAAUCUACUUUUUCGUGGGGGAUAUCGUAGGGAAACUUACGCUAAUACCGCAUACGACCUACGGGUGGAAGCAGGGGAUCUUCGGACCUUGCGCGAUUGAAUGAGCCGAUGUCGGAUUAGCUAGUUGGCGGGGUAAAGGCCCACCAAGGCGACGAUCCGUAGCUGGUCUGAGAGGAUGAUCAGCCACACUGGAACUGAGACACGGUCCAGACUCCUACGGGAGGCAGCAGUGGGGAAUAUUGGACAAUGGGCGCAAGCCUGAUCCAGCCAUACCGCGUGGGUGAAGAAGGCCUUCGGGUUGUAAAACCCUUUUGUUGGGAAAGAAAAGCAGCAGGUUAAUACCCCGCUGUUCUGACGGUACCCAAAGAAUAAGCACCGGCUAACUUCGUG